AUGCAUCUCUUUUUUUCCAGGGUCCACCAGGCCCUACUGGUCCACAGGGCCCAAUUGGUCAACCAGGUCCAGCUGGAGCUGAUGGUGAGCCUGGCCCUCGAGGACAGCAGGGUCUCUUUGGUCAGAAAGGGGACGAAGGACCAAGAGGAUUCCCUGGCCCUCCAGGACCUGUGGGGUUGCAGGGCUUACCAGGACCUCCUGGUGAGAAGGGCGAAACAGGCGAUGUUGGCCAAAUGGGUCCUCCAGGGCCUCCAGGGCCGAGGGGUCCAUCUGGGGCCCCAGGAGCGGAUGGGCCUCAAGGUCCACCAGGUGGGAUUGGAAAUCCUGGAUCUGUUGGCGAGAAGGGUGAACCUGGAGAAUCUGGAGAACCUGGCUUGCCUGGAGACGGUGGACCCCCGGGUCCUAAAGGCGAGAGAGGGGAAAAGGGAGAAGCAGGCCCCUCAGGUGCUGCUGGCCCCGCAGGACCCAAAGGCCCCCCGGGUGAUGAUGGACCCAAAGGUAGCCCUGGUCCGGUUGGUUUUCCUGGUGAUCCGGGACCUCCAGGCGAACCUGGCCCAGCCGGCCAAGAUGGUCCACCAGGUGAUAAAGGAGAUGAUGGAGAACCCGGUCAGACUGGCUCUCCUGGUCCAACUGGAGAACCAGGUCCUUCAGGUCCACCAGGGAAAAGGGUAA
rnacentral:lncRNA from 1 species